rnacentral:rRNA from 1 species
CGCAAGCCUGAUGCAGCAACGCCGCGUGCGCGAUGAAGGCCUUCGGGUCGUAAAGCGCUUUCGGGGAGAUGAGGAAGGACAGUAUCCCCGGAAUAAGUCUCGGCUAACUCCGUGCCAGCAGCCGCGGUAAUACGGGGGGGGCAAGCGUUGUUCGGAAUUACUGGGCGUAAAGGGUUCGUAGGUGGCUCGCUAAGUCAGACGUGAAAUCCCUCAGCUUAACUGGGGAACUGCGUCUGAGACUGGCGAGCUCGAGUGCAGGAGAGGAACGCGGAAUUCCAGGUGUAGCGGUGAAAUGCGUAGAUAUCUGGAGGAACACCGGUGGCGAAGGCGGCGUUCUGGACUGCAACUGACACUGAGGAACGAAAGCCAGGGUAGCAAACGGGAUUAGAUACCCCGGUAGUCCUGGCCCUAAACGAUGAAUGCUUGGUGUGGCGGGUAUCGAUCCCUGCCGUGCCGAAGUUAACGCGUUAAGCAUUCCGCCUGGGGAGUACGGUCGCAAGGCUG